ACCCCCACCUCGGGGUGCCCGCAAGGGCUGAGACGCAAUCGCGGACCCGUUGAACCUGAACCGGUUAGGACCGGCGGAGGGAAGGUGCGCGGGUCUGGU
rnacentral:ncRNA from 2 species